rnacentral:rRNA from 1 species
GACGAACGCUGGCGGCGUGCUUAACACAUGCAAGUCGAACGGAAAGGCCCUUGGUGGUACUCGAGUGGCGAACGGGUGAGGAACACGUGGGUGUUCUGCCCUGCACUUUGGGAUAAGCCUGGGAAACUGGGUCUAAUACCGAAUAGGACCACGCGCUUCAUGGUGUGUGGUGGCAAGCUUUUGCAGUGUGGGAUGGGCCUGCGCCCUAUCAUGUUGUUUGUGGGGUAAUGGCCUACCAAGGCGACGACGGGUAGCCGGCCUGAGAGCGUGACCGGCCACACUAAUACUGAGAUACGCCCCAGACUCGUACCGGACACAGCAGUGAGGAAUAUUGCACAAUGGUCGCAAGCCUGAUGCAGCGACUCCACGUGAGGGAUGACGGCCUUCGGGUUGUAAACCUCUUUCAAUAGGGACGAAGCGCAAGUAACGGUACCUAUAAAAGAAGCACCGGCCAACUACGUG